GCCGGGAUGGCAGAGCGGUCAUUGCGCUGGUCUUGAAAACCAGUGCCCUCACGGGCUCGGGAGUUCGAACGAGGGACGUCGCAGUUUUUCUCCUCGCCCUUCGUGGGCUCGUCGAUAAAACUGCUCGUGCCCCUCGACCCCUUUGCGGGUUGGGGCCCUCCUGAAAAUCUCCCUCCCGGCG
rnacentral:tRNA from 1 species